rnacentral:lncRNA from 1 species
AUGCUCGCAGGCUCUGGAUGUAGUCAGUCCGAGCAGCCUGGGCGGCCGGGACCCGGAGGCUGGGGAGUCGGGGACCGCGCGGAGUCCGGCGCCGGGGGUGAGCGCGGGGCCCGGGGACGCCCCCCGACCCCCCGACCCGCGCUCCCGGGGGGGCUCCCUGGAGGCGGGUCCCGGGGGAGGGAUGCUCGCGGCCCUGGAUGCAGGGACCCGGAGGCUGGGGAGUCGGAGACCGCGCGGAGCCCGGCGGCCGGGGGUGAGCGCGCGGGGCCCAGGGACACCCCCGACCCCCGACCUGCGGUCCGGGGGGGGGGCGGGUCCCCGGGGAGGGACGCUCGCGGCCCUGGGCGGCCGGGACCCGGAGGCUGUGCGCACACACGCGGGCACACCGGCGCGCGCACAUGCACACGCGCUCGCACACCCGCGCCCGGGCCUCCCCACGGGGACCGCGAGCCGAGGCGGGGCAGCGGCCGCCUGACGGGGACGGCCCGGCCGGGCCCCGGGCGCUCACCUGCCUCCUCCGGAGCUCGGGGCCGCGGUGCGCCCUCCCCGCCGCCGCCUGGAGCGCCCGGGGAGCGGGUGCGGGCGGCGGCUGCGGCGCGCACAGCCCGGGCGGCGGGUGCAUGGCCGGGGCGUCCCCCCGCCCCCGUCCCCCGUCCCCCUCCUCCCGCCGCCGCCGCCGCCGCCGCCGCUCCUGCUCCGCCCGAGGACCGAGCGCCGCGGCGGGCGCGGGGAGCGGGAGCGGAAGCCCUAAGUUCCCGGCGCGGCUCCCCGCCCCCGGCCGCCCAGGCCCCGCCGGAAGGCGCCCGCGGGAAGCCGCUGGGGAGGCGCGCGCGGGGGCCGGCGAGCCCGGGGGGCGGGGGCCGCGCGAGUAGCGCUCCCCAACUUGGGCGCGUCCGGGGCGCGCGGGGGGCGCGCGGGGGGCGCCCGAGGGGAGCCGGCGCGGCGUCGCGGCCCCCGGCCCGCCUGCGCUCUCGGAUGCCGGCCCGGGCGGCUCGGCCGCGGGGGGUGCCGGGGGGGGCGGGGGCGGAGGAGGAGGAG